rnacentral:rRNA from 1 species
GAUGAACGCUGGCGGCAUGCCUAACACAUGCAAGUCGAACGAAGCACUUGAGUAGCUUGCUAUGAGAGUGACUUAGUGGCGAACGGGUGAGUAAUGCAUGAGCAACCUGCCCUUCAGUGGGGGACAACAGUUGGAAACGACUGCUAAUACCGCAUAACACUUUUUUAAGGCAUCUUAGAGAAGUCAAAGAUUUAUUGCUGAAGGAUGGGCUCAUGUCUGAUUAGCUAGUUGGUGAGGUAACGGCUCACCAAGGCGACGAUCAGUAGCCGGUCUGAGAGGAUGAACGGCCACAUUGGGACUGAGAUACGGCCCAGACUCCUACGGGAGGCAGCAGUGGGAAUAUUGGGCAAUGGUCUAACGACUGACCAGCCAUGCCGCGUGAAGGUCACGGCCCUAUGGGUCUUAAACUUCUUUUACCGAGGACGAAGAAAUGACGGUACUCGGCGAAUAAGCUCCGGCUAACUACGUGCCAG